rnacentral:rRNA from 1 species
GCGUGCUAUAAUGCAGUCGAGCGAGCUGAUUCAAGAUUCCUUCGGGAUGAUUUGUUGGACGCUAGCGGCGGAUGGGUGAGUAACACGUGGGCAAUCUGCCCUAAAGACUGGGAUACCACUUGGAAACAGGUGCUAAUACCGGAUAACAACAUGAAUCGCAUGAUUCAAGUUUGAAAGGCGGCGCAAGCUGUCACUUUAGGAUGAGCCCGCGGCGCAUUAGCUAGUUGGUGGGGUAAAGGCCUACCAAGGCAAUGAUGCGUAUCCGAGUUGAGAGACUGAUCGGCCACAUUGGGACUGAGACACGGCCCAAUCUCCUACGGGAGGCAGCAGUAGGGAAUCUUCCACAAUGGACGCAAGUCUGAUGGAGCAACGCCGCGUGAGUGAAGAAGGUUUUCGGAUCGUAAAGCUCUGUUGUUGGUGAAGAAGGAUAGAGGCAGUAACUGGUCUUUAUUUGACGGUAAUCAACCAGAAAGUCACGGCUAACUACGUGCCAGCAGCCGCGGUAAUACGUAGGUGGCAAGCGUUGUCCGGAUUUAUUGGGCGUAAAGCGAGCGCAGGCGGAAUGAUAAGUCUGAUGUGAAAGCCCCGGCUCACC